GGAGUUAGGUGAUAGAUCACAUGUGAGCGUGGUGCUUAGAUGUUAUUUAUCUGCAAAUGUAUCCUAUUGGCCGAGUCGUGUGGUAGUUCGCGAUAGUGACAGCUUCGUUGAUUCUUAUAUAGUCCACCCUCCAUUGAUAGGACAGGCAGAACCGGUAUUGUGGAGUAAGUCUUGCGAUGUUCUGAUUUACUUUAUCAAUGUUCCUUAUACAUGAAUGAAGAGUCUUUUAUGCUAU
rnacentral:lncRNA from 1 species